CUAAGCUUCGUUCUUCAAUUCUUUGACUUUAUUUGGCUUAUUCAGCUUGUGUCAAGUCUAGGUACACAUCUCAAAUUUUUGUUUUCUCCUGGAUCUAUAAUGAAAUGCUGGUUGUUUCUUCUAAAGUUCGUUUGCUGUGUUUGAUAGAAUCUGUUGUUUAUAAACUUAGUUGAAAUGUUUGAUAUAGUUAAUACCUAAAAUAUGUUGUAGAUCUAAUUAAUAAUAACCGGUUGCUUUGAAAUUAAAUUUGUGACUAGAGUGUUAACAGAACUCAUAUAUUUAGCUUGAUGUAACAAAUGUUAAGCUCACUAAGCUCAACAAUGGUGAAAGAUUCGGGAAAGAACAGAGUAUUGGAAAGGAAAGAGAAGAAAAUAGAGUGCAAGAGAGAGAGAAGCAGAGAAAAGAGGAAAAGAGAAUAUUCAUUUAGCAUAAUCUCCCACUCUGUUACAGCUUGUACAAAUACAGCUAAGAAUGCAAAUACUGCUAACACGUGUCCUAGACUAUAGAGAACAUACAGAAACUUGGAUGGACCUAAUGGACAUAAAAUACUGGAAAAAGUGUAAAACCUCUAAUCUCUAAUUAAACAACUCAAUAACUAACAUUUCUAAUAUCAUCUUCACUCGUUACAUGCCAUCCUCCCUUGAGAACCUUGUCCUCAAGGUUCAAAUUGGGGAAACUGGAAUUUGAUGAAGUUUUAGUCCUCCCAUUAUAAUAGAUUUGGCCAUUGCACAAGAACCUGAGUGGUAGCUGCGUUUCGUUUCUUCACCAUACGCCUGUCCAGAAUUGCAAUUGGUUCCACUAGAGGCUGUCCAUCACGAGAACAUAUAGGGGGCUCAAUGGAAGGAAUCUAAUCUAUGCCCCACCCUUUUCUUCAACUGAGAAAUGUGAAAACUGAGUGUAUCUUGGAUGAAGGAAGUAAUUGUAACUUAUAAGCUACUAGACUGAUCUUCUUAAUGAUUUGAUAAGGACCAUAAAAUUUGGCCACUAGCUUCAGACUCUUCCUUAUAACAAUUGAGGUUUGCCUAUAAGGUUGUAAUUUGAUGAACACCCAAUCUCCAACCAUAAACUCCCUUUCUGUUCUGUUCUUGUCUGCAUAAAACUUCAUUCUGCUUUGAGCUCUUUUUAGGUUCUCUUUCAGUAACCUUGCCAUCAAUUGUCUUUCUUUAAUUAUUUGAUCUACAACAGCUAUUUUGGAUUGUAAAAUCAAUUCAAAAGACAACUGAGGAGGAUCAUAUACAUAUACAACUUUGAAAGGGGUCAUUUGAGUAGCUGAGUGGUAAUUAGAAUUAUACCAAAACUCAGCUAAAGAUAUCCAUUUGCUCCAUUCCACUGGUUUAUGGCUGGUCAUACACCUUAAAUAAUUUUCCAAGCACCUGUUUACUCUCUCAGUCUGCCCAUCUGUUUGUGGGUGAUAGGUUGAGCUGUAAACUAACUUAGUUUGCAACAAAUUGAAGAGCUCCUUCCAGAAGAUACUGAGAAAGACUUUGUCUUUAUCAGAAACUAUGCUACUAGGUAAGCCAUGCAACUUAUAGACUCGAUCUAGAAAUAAUGAAGCUAACUUUACUGCAGUAAAAUGAUGAGCUAAAGUUAAGAAAUGGGCAUAUUUGCUAUACCUAUCAACCACAACCAUAAUUGUAUCUUUCCCUCUUGACUUGGCUAAACCUUCAAUGAAAUCCAUCGAUAUGUAUUCCCAAGGUCAGGAGGGUAUAGGUAGAGGUUGAAAUAGACCCAGAUAUGCUACCUGUUCAUUCUUACACCUUUGACAUAUUGCACCGUUCUUGACCACCUUUUUAACAUCUUCCAGUAUUGAGGGCCAAUAAAACACAAAUUUAACUCUAUGGAGGGUAGCAGUGAUGCCAGAGUGACCUCCCAAAUUGGAAGAAUGCACAUGUUGUACCAAUUGCUAUCUCAAAUUUCCUUGCUUACCGACCCAGACCUUCCCUUUCAAUCUAAAGAUGCCUUGCUGCAGUGUUACUUCAGUUGAAGCUGUAGGAUCAACUGUAGGAGCACAGACUAUCUUCGUUACUUCCUCAUCCCCUUCAUAACUAUUCUUGAUCUCCUCCAUCCAUUUUGGUUGCAAUUGUAUUAACAUUUGACAAGCAACAACAACUUCUGUUAACAUUUGCCUCCUCGAGAGGGCAUCUGCUACUGAAUUACCAAUUCCUUUCUUGUAAUGGAUCUCAAAACUUAACCCCAUCAACUUGGUCAAGCCUUUAUGCUGCAAGACAGUGGUGAUUUUUUGUUCUUGGAGAAACUUAAGGCUAAAAUGAUCGGUCAUUAUAAUGAAAUGACUAGGGAUCAAGCAAUGUCUCCAUUUGUUGACAGCAUGUAAUAUGGCAAUCAACUCAUUCUCGUAUGUUGAGAGACCUUGAUGCUUUAGGCUUAGUUCCUGACUAAGAAAGGCAAUGGGCCUUCUAUCUUGCAUAAGAACAGCUCCCACACUUGUUCCACAAGCAUCCACUUCCACUACAAAUGGUUUGCUAAAAUUAGGUAGGGCUAAAACUGGGACAUUAGUCAUUGCCUUCGAGUGCCUUAAAAGCUUCAGUAGCUUCAUUGUUCUAGUGGAAACCCCUUUUCUUCAACAAUGUAGUCAAAGGUUUACUAAGUGUAGCAUAAUCCUUAAUAAACCUUCUAUAAUAACUAGUGAGGCUGAGGAAUCCUCUUAACUCUUUGAUAUUUGUAGGUAGGGGACAAGUAACCAUUGCUGAAAUUUUGCUUGGAUCUGUACUGACACCUUCACCAUUGAUAAUGUGACCAAGGUGCUCUACUUUUGGCUGGGCAAAGUCACAUUUAGAUCUCUUAGCAAACAAUUCAUGUUGCCCCAAUAAGUCUAAGACAAUCUGCAAGUGUUCAUCCAAUGAUAAACUGUAGUCCAGUAUAUCAUCAAAAAAGAUUAAGAUAAACCUCCUUAGAUAGGCCCAAAAAACUUGAUGCAUCAAGGAUUGAAAGGUGGCUGGUGCAUUUGUUAAGCCAAAUGGCAUAACCCUGAAUUGCCAUAGUCCAUGAUGUGUUCGAAAAGCAGUCUUGUGCUCAUCUCUAGACUUCAUUCUCACUUGAUGAUAGCCAGACCUAUGGUCUAUCUUAGAGAAAACUUUGGCUCCUUUCAACUCGUCUAACAAGUCCUUUACCAAAGGAAUAUGGUACUUAUUCUUGAUUGUUAAAGAGUUUAAUCUUCUGAAAUCCACACAUAGUCUCCAAGAGGAAUCCUACUUCUUUACUAGCAAUGCAGGUGAUGCAAAAGUAGACUGACUAGGUACCACUAUCUGAGCUUGUAGCAUAUCCCCAACCAUUUGUUCAAUAGCAUUCUUCUGAUCAUAGGAAUAUCUAUAGGGCCUCAAGCUGAAGGAUUGUGCUUCUGGAAUUAAAGAGAUGGCAUGAUCACAGUCCCUAGGUGGGGGCAGUCCUUUAGGUUCUUCAAAAACAUCAACAUAUUUGUCUAACAAUGCUGAAAUGGAAACGGGAGAGAAGAAGGAGCCAUGAUGGCUUCCAGCUCGAGGGUGACCCACAUGUCAUUCAGCCUAUCAUAUAUGCUUCCUGAGGUCCCUCAACAUUAUUAUCCCUUUCAAGAUGUUGCUUAUGCCGUGGCACCACCUCCUUAUGCGGUAAUGAAUGCACAACCUUACACGCGGCCACAACAUCAUACUUAAAACCGAGCUCCACCUCCCAUAAAUACCCAUCCUUACCAAGCUACAUAUAAUCCCAACCAAAUGUUCCCUAGUACAAUCCUCGCCCAAGAGAGCCUUUUAGAAAGAAUCAGUUCACCCCUAUUGGUGAAUCGUAUUCAAGCUUGUUCGAAAGGCUAAUCAGGCUAAAUCUAUUGCAGCCAGUGGCCCCGUACCGGCCGAACCCCGAGUCCCAGUCGCACCGAGCUGAUGCUAGAUGUGAAUACCACUAUGGAGCAGUGGGACAUGGUACAGAUGACCGUUGACCCUCAAAAAGGCAGUUGAAGAUUUGAUUGAAGCUGAAAGAAUUGUUUUUUGGGAUGAAGAAGCUCCUGAUGUGAUGAACAAUCUGUUGCCUGCUCACAACACUAGGCCAAUAGUCGGAAUGAUUUGUGAAGAUGAGGAAUUUGAUCUGGCACUGAAGGCUAUUACAGCCAUUGCCGAAAUAGAAGAAAAGUCAAAAGAUGGUCGCCAAGCCUGAAAGUUCCCCAUUAGACGGGAGUCUUGGUAGCCAAUCUUAUUAUCCUUUAUGCGUUCGGAUUAUCUUAGGGUGUGAUCCGGAUGUUCUACUUUAAUGUAUUACUUUCUGAUGUAAACCCAUCUAUCUUUGAAUUAAAAAAAAUCAUCAUAAAAAAAAAAUCAAAAAAUCAAAUGAUAUUAAUAUUUCAUUGUCCAGGAAUAUCUCUUUUCUUAAUCUUGUCAUUUUUUCUUAUUCUCUUUUUAGUUCUUUUAAAUGCAGAUUUCAAUAACAUGACAUGCUUGCGGACUUCAUGCUCAGAUCCUAAAAUGUUGUCUGACUUUGAAAUAAUGAAUCAAGAAUUAGAUUGCAAUGAAGAUAAGUUUAAGGAAAUAAAACAAAGAGUUGGAACAACUAAGAAAAAUUGGCUCCAGAUUGGAAAGAUCCAUACAUGGUAACAAGGGUACUGCCAAAGAGAGCGUUGCACCUGGAAAAUAUCGAAGGAAAUAUCCUGAAACAAUUGUCAAUGCAAAUGCAGCCAAAAGGUACUAUGUUUGAUCCUCCAUACAUUAUUAAUAUUCUCCGGUUGGGAUGACGAAGACUUUCAUUCUCGCUACCCAAAUACCAUUAACCCUUUUGUAAACCAUUUGAGCCGGUUACUCUUCUUCGAUUACCCUUUUUGGAACUUGAAAGUGUUACAAACAAAAAAAAACUAAAAAAAAAGAAUGAAAUGAAAAAUGAAAAAAGAGAAGAAAAAGGGGGUGGGGGGUGGGGGGAAGAAAAGACAAAGAAAAUGAAAUAAAAAAAAGAUGAACAAGAGAGGAAAAAGGAAAGGAAAAAGAAAGAGAAAACAAAGCAAAAAGAAAAACAAAACAAAAUCAAAAAAUAAAGUUCUCUGAACUACGUUCGACUUGAUUCCGAAAUGAUACGUAGGCAACCUCUCAUUGGAGGUUCAGUCACACCAAAAGACAAAGAAAAGACAAAGAAAAUGAAAUAAAAAAAAGAUGAACAAGAGAGGAAAAAGGAAAGGAAAAAGAAAGAGAAAACAAAGCAAAAAGAAAAACAAAACAAAAUCAAAAAAUAAAGUUCUCUGAACUACGUUCGACUUGAUUCCGAAAUGAUACGUAGGCAGCCUCUCAUUGGAGGUUCAGUCACACCAAAACAAAAAUCCAAAUUCCCCCCAAAAGUGAAACUGGGGCAAAUGUUAUAAUAGUUCGGCGAUGAUCCCUCCUGAAUGGUUCCAAAGUUGUAAUUCAGUCCAAAUCAUUUUUACCCAAGUCCUUUCAAGUCCUUCCGAUCAAUCGGUGAGAAUGUUCAAUGAUCGGAGAACGCAUCUACUUAGAAAAUAAGAGUCUUGUUAGUGAAAACUCACAAAGAGUGCUACAAGGUGAUGGUGAGAAGAGACAUGAGAGAGGUCAGCCGGUGAAAACCCGCAAGGGGCACCCCUGAUCGAAAAAGGAUCCUAACAACCACUGACAUCGACAGAGUCUUGGCAAGGUUUAACGAUUUUAAGGCAAAAGUUGUGAUGAAUUUUUGAGAAUCGGACGGUUUACACAGAUCAGACAUCCAGUCCAAAUGCUAUGAAAUUGAAGUUGGAAGAAAGAAUCCAGAAAUGAAAGGCCUAUGAAGGCGAAACAAAGUUGGAAAAGGUUAAGUCCCACGCGACUAGCCGUUGUAGCAAAGUUUGAGGAGCCAAAAGUUCCCCAAUGCCCCGAAGCUAAAAAAAAGAAAAAAAAAGAAAAAAAGAAAGAAAAAGAAGUCAGAAGGGAAAGGCCUACGAAGGGAAAAUAAGUUGAAAAGGUUGAGUUCCACCGACCAACCGUCAUGGCAAAGUCUGGAAAAGCCAGAGGUUCUCUAGGGCUUGAAAUAAAAUCGGUCCUCAGGGAACAAACAGUUGCAGUUGAGAUCUUCAUCAAAGAAGCCGGGCUGAGAUUAAGUGAUUGAAACAAUCAAGGCCACGAAAACAACCAUCAUUUCAAACUAACAACUGUUCUUUGUUUGAGAACAAGAAACAUGUGCAAUCCAAAGCACCUUGCAAGAAGUAGGUGCAAUCAAAAAGAAACUGUGCAAGGGCUAGAAACAGCUCUACAGCAAUAAUCAAUCCAAAAGGGAAGUCUUAUCCAAAUUCUUUCUUGCAUUUUAUUCAUUUUCUUAAAUUAAAAAAAAUGAAAUGAAAAGAAAGAAGAAGAAAAAUUCAAAAUCAUGGUAGCAUAGGGUCUCUAAUCUCUCGUUACGUCUUUUCCAACAUAGGGUCCCACUCCCUAGCUGAUGCCAACAUAACCUGAUAAUCUUUUCCAACAUAGGGUCCCACUCUCUAGCUGAUGCCAGCAUAACAUGGGAAUCUUUUCCAACAUAGGGUCCCACUCCCUAGUUGAUUCCGGCAUAAUCCGAUGACUUCCCCGGCAUAACCCGAGGACCUUUCCGGCAUAACCCGAUGACCUUCCCCGACAUAACCCGAGGACCUUUCCGGCACAACCCGAUGACUUCCCCGGCAUAACCCGAGGACCUUUCCGGCACAACCCGAUGACUUCCCCGGCAUAACCCGAUGACUUCCCUGGCAUAACCCAAUGACCUUUCUAGCAUAACCCGCUGACUUCCCCGGCAUAACCCGAAGACCUUUCCGGCAUAACCCGAUGACUUCCCCGACAUAACCCGAGGACCUUUCUGGCAUAACCCGAUGACUUUCCCAGCAUAACCCGAGACUUUUCCGGCAUAACCCGAUGAUUUUUCCAGCAUAACCUGGUAAUUUUUUCCAACAUAGGGUUCUAUUCCCUAGCUGAUGCCAGCAUAACCUGGUAAUCUUUUCCAACAUAGGGUCCCACUCCCUAGCUUUGCCAACAUAACCUGGUAAUCUUUUCCGGCACAAGGUCCCAUUCCUUAGUUUAUGCCAGCAUAACCUGGUAAUCUUUCCAACUUAGGGCCUCUGAUCCCCAUUUGAUUUUAUUUUAGAUAAAUGGCUCCACUCCCUAAUCUCUUUUCUCCCAAGGAUACACAAUCCUGAUUUUAUUGCUUUCAAUAAAGAAGUAGUUUAGAUUUUUUGUUACAAUAACUCACGAAAUUUUCCUAGUGAAAACUGGGGCAGAAAAUUUCAUUCGUUUGUUUAUUUUGAUCCCUGAACAGGUUUUUACCAUAAGGCACGAGGUUUGAGAUGACCAAAAGAAGAAGUCUCAAUCCAAAUAAAAGAAAAGAAAAGAAAAACCAGAAAAGAAGUUGAGCUCUAAGUGCAGAAGCGGAUAAAAAUGUGGACUGCUCAAGACAUAAUUGAAGUCACAAGCUUUGCAUGUCCCGCUUUGAUCCGAGAAUUUGAAAAAGGAAUGAACCAACACCUGUAGCUAACGAGCAUCAAUAUUCAGAUCAGAGUUUGCAGGAAGAACCAGCCAAGACUCAAGAUCAAUCUUUAGAAGGUUUAUAGAUAAGAAUUUUGUAACUCAUGGUUGAUAGGCGUAGCUAGUUUAGUUUUUCAUCUUUCAUUUUGGUGUAAUAAGGAGCUCAACAAGAAGAAACAACAUCAACAACAGUGAAAUCACAGUUUCUCGGUAGUCCUAACUACCAAAACUUUCAGAACUACACCGACCUGAUUCCUUUAUAGCCAAGGAUAUGUAGGCAAUCUCCUAAGCAAGGUUUGGUCAAACUUUUUCAAAAUGCUUCCAAAUGGAGUUUCAAACGGGCAAAAAUUGCUCGUAGGUGCUCACUUUAUCUUUGCCCGAAAAUUCUUCAUGUUUCAAAGCAAAGAGGGGUAGCUGUAAGCACCUAAUUUUUGCCCUGAAUGGAAAUAACUCCUAAAAAUAGACCAAAAUAAUUUUAAUUGAUUUUUAAGAGUUUUUCUUUAUUUAGUAUUGUCACGUUUUAAUUUCAUGCCAUUUUAGGUUCAAUUUGCAUGUAGAAAUUAAUUUUAUUAAGCAAAAAUCAUAAAAAUGGUCAUUCUUACAUAUUUAGAUUUUAGCCUUUAAAAUUAGCAUAAGUUAAUUAGUUGUUUUAAUGUUAAAAAUAAAUAAAGAAUUUUAAUUUCUACAAAAUAGAUUAAUUUAGGAAUUAAUUAAUUUAAUUAGGAUUUUUAAAAUUAAAGAAAAGAAAAAAAAGAAAACAAAGAAAGAAAAGGGGGAAUUAAGCUAUUUUUAGGUCUAAUUUCGGAUAAAAACCAUCAGAUCUACCCUUUAAUAAAAACCUAGACCUAAGACAAAUAGAGAUCAGAUCUUAGACCUAGAACAAACCAUCAGAUCCUUAGACCCCAACCUAGCGCCGUUUAUUCCCCCCAAAAAAAAAACAAAGAUCAGAGACCUUCCCUAAUUCCCUUCAGCAACGGCGCUACCACCACUACUUUCAUCAGAAAUCCUCGCCGUAGCUCCUCUUUAGAUGCUCACCUAGUAGCUUAUUUUCCCUCUUCUCCUUCUCCAUAGCUUUCAAAAUCGAAUCCCCCCCUUAGAGACAAGAACGAGCAGCUAAAACCAAAAGAAGGAUGAGACCUUCUCCUUGAACAAAAGAAGAGAGCUGCUGCUCAAUGACCCCUCUUUUUGAUUUCAAAAACAAAAGAACCACCAUUAAAAGCUGUUGAAUAAUCUCCAAACCAACUGAAAAAUACAGAAACAGAGCCUCUUCUUCGCUCAAAAACAACCGUUCCAAAGUUGAGCUCAAGAGCUCGUUGAGGUUCACGGCUACGUCUCUAGUUCAGGUUUUGUUGAUAAGGUUUGAUAAUUUCUGGAUUUUCAAGUUGAUUUUUCGUUGGGAUUAUUGCUAUUUUCUGCCGAUUCUAUGGCUGACUUCGCUGAGCCUUAGGCUUUGAAGUUUUUUUGUGAUUUCAUCUUUAUUUGAGAGCUUUUCUUUGCUGUUGCUGGUUUUGCUGCUGAGGCCACUAGAAUUAAGCCUUGACUUGGUCUUUUGGAUUUAGGUCCAAGGUAUGAUUUCUAAUUUCAAAUGAUGUAAUGGUUGUUUGGAUGGUGAUAUCUUAUGAAAUUCGUGAUGAUUAUGCACCUAAACACUUGAAAAUGCCUUGUUAUAGCUAUGUGGAAAAUGUUUUCAUAUUUUAGUUUAGGAAAUAUUUUCUAUGUUAUUUUUAAUGUUUGGUUGGUUAAAAAUUAGGUGACACGUGAUAAUUGUAUAUGGUGGAGGAUAGGAUAUGAUGAUAAUGUUUUGGUUAUAUGUUGUAAUGAAUAGAUUGUCUAUGGGAUUCUGAUACUGUAUAAUACGUUGUUUUGGCACUAAAUGUGGUCAUUAGAUUUUCCUUAUGGGAAUAUCUUUUUAUGACCUAGGAUAAUUAGUCAAAGAUAUAUAAAUCAUAAUAGAAAUUAACAAAUUGGCAACGAACAGUGAAGCAUUUCUUUGCAGCGAGAGCCUUUCCUAUGAAAAAAAGGAGCAGACAACUUUCUAUGGUACUAAAUUUUUUUAAUCACCAACAGAAUUACAAAACUUCAACUAGGCCACAACCAUGAAACAAUUCUAAUUUCCGUAAAUCAUAAGCCUUUCACAAAUAAUCUUAAAGUAGUUUAGGAAAAUAACUCAUACAUCCGUAGUUUGCUUUAGUUGAGUAAAAUCUUUUGAAAUAUAUUGAGGCGUGCCAUACACAAAUAAAAUUCAUAACCCAUGACCCUCACAUUAAUAAUAACUAGUGUAGAAAACACUUUGAACAUCGUAGUUUGCUUUAGGUGCGUUUAUAAUAAAAUCAUUAUAGCUACGAGUACAGUUCCCGUGACGUAGUUGUGAUACCUAAAUUUCAAAUAUGUAGGGAACAUUUAUGUGACCCGGCCACAACUUCUAAUAACGUUAAUAAAUUAUACAUGUUGUAGAUCGUGGGUACGGUUCCCGUGACAUGAUUCGCAAUGUGUAAAACAAACAAGUGUAUGACAAUCGUAACUUGUUCCAGAAUAAUUCCAUAAAAUAAUUAAAAGCGGUUUUAAAAGUUUAAAAAUGCAGACUAGGUUUAUAACAUGUAGUAAAUCAGAUAAUUAAGCCAAUUUUAAUAGUUUAAGCGGUCGUGCUCGAACCACGGAACCCGAGAAUGCCUGACACCUUCUCCCGGGUUAACAGAAUUCCUUAUCUAGAAUUUCUGGUUUCGCAGACUUUUAAAUAAAGUCGAUUUUCCUCGAUUUGGGAUUUAAAAUAAAUCGGUGACUUGGGACACCAUAAUAUAUUAUCCCAAGUGGCAACUCUAAAAUUAAAUAAAAUAAUCCCAUGUCGAAUAAUAUCAUUUUAAUUGGAAAAACUCCCUUUAAUAUCCUUUCGGGUGGUAAAAAUGAGGUGUGACAACAGGUUUAUUGCUUAACUCACAACAACUUGUGAGCCCAUCUUUAAGUUUCUGAAGAAGGAUGCCGCGGUCAAAUGGAUUGAUGACUGACAGAAGGCAUUUGAUAAGAUUAAGGGGUACUUGUCAAACCCACAUGUGUUGGUCCCGCCGGAUCCCGGGAGACCUUUAAUUCUCUACUUGACAGUCCUGGAUAAUUCAUUCGAUUGUGUGUUGGGUCAACACGACAUCACUGGCAAGAAGGAGAAAGCCAUUUAUUAUCUCAGCAAGAAGUUCACAUCCUACGAGGUCAAGUAUACUCUCCUUGAAAGGACAUGUUGCGCCCUGAUUUGGGUGGCACAAAAGUUAAAGCAUUAUCUGUCGUCCUACACUACUUAUCUCAUUUCUUGCAUGGAUGCUCUAAAGUAUAUCUUUCAAAAGCCUAUGCCCACAGGAAAACUUGCAAAGUGGUAGAUUUUGCUCAUAGAGUUUGACAUCAUCUAUGUGACUCGGAUCGCGAUGAAAGCCCAAGCCUGGCCAAUCACUUGACAGAGAACCCGGUGGACGAAGAGUAUGAGCCAUUGAGGACUUAAUUUCCUGAUGAAGAGGUGAUGCAUAUUGACAAGGUUGAGCAGGAUGAAAAGCCAGGUUGGAAACUUUUCUUUGAUGGAGCCGCUAACAUAAAAGGUGUCGGAAUAAGGGCUGUGCUCAUUUCUGAAACAGGGCAUCACUACCCUGUUACAGCCCAACUUCGUUUCUAUUGCACCAACAACAUGGCUGAGUACAAGACAUGCAUUCUGGGUUUGAGGUUAGCUGUAGACAUGGGAGUUUAGGAAGUAUUGGUUUUGGGAGAUUCAGAUCUAAUAGUGCACCAGAUUCAGGGAGAAUGGGAGACUCGAGAUUUAAAGCUCAUACCGUAUCGACAAUGUCUGCAUGAUCUUUGUCUACGAUUCAGAUUAGUAGAGUUCAGGCGUAUUUCUAGGAUCCAUAAUGAGGUUUCCGACGCCUUGGCUACUCUGCGUCAAUGUUACACCACCCGGAUAAGGGUUAUGUCGACCCUUUGCAUAUUUAAGUUCGUGAUCAACAUGCUUAUUGUAAUAUGGUUGAGGAGGAACUUGAUGGUGAACCUUGGCUCCACGAUAUCAGGGAGUACAUCAAAUCGGGGGUAUAUCCGGUACAGGCCACAUGUGAUCAAAAGAGAACGAUUCGACGCUUGGUUAGUGGAUUUUUCUUGAGCAGGGGAGUCUUGUACAAAAGAACUCCAGAUCUUGGACUGCUGAGGUGCAUAAAUGCUAAAUAAGCUUCGACCAUCAUGGUCGAAGUGCAUUCCGGAGUUUGCGGGCCGCAUAUGAGCGGAUAUGUUUUGGCAAAGAAAAUUCUUCGAUCAGCUUAUUAUUGGCUCACCAUGGAACGAGAUUGCAUCAGCUUUGUACGCAAAUGUCAUCAAUUCCAGGUGCACGAUGAUCUAAUUCAUUCUCCGCCAUCUGAGUUGCACACAAUGUCUGCACCUUGGCCCUUUGUUGCUUGGGGCAUGGAUGUCAUUGGACCAAUUGAGUCAGCAACAUCGAACGGGCACAGUUUUAUUCUGGUGGCCAUCGAUUAUUUCACCAAGUGGGUCGAAGCUGUAACUUCCAAAUAUGUGACCAAGAAGGCAGUGGUGGAUUUUAUCCAUUCAAAUCUCAUUUGUCGGUUCAGAAUCCCCAAGGUAAUCAUUACAAAUAGUGCUGCUAAUCUCAACAGCCAUUUGAUGAAAGGGGUAUGCCAACAGUUCAAGAUUAUGCAUUGAAAUUCCACUCCGUAUCGCCCCAAGGCAAAUAGAGCUGUUGAGGCAGCUAACAAGAACAUAAAGAAGAUACUUCGCAAGAUGAUGCAAGGUUCUAGGCAAUGACAUGAAAAGUUGCCUUUUGCUUUAUUAGGUUAUCGCACUACUGUUCGCACUUGAUAACUAGGGACUAUUUGGUACACAUUUUCAAUCAGAACUCAAGCGGUAUUCUAUGCAUACCCUCCACCCGGAUGCCUUUUGGGUUGUGUAAUGCACCGGCUAUAUUUCAGCGGUGUAUGAUAGCCAUUUUCACCGAUAUAGUGGAAGAUAUUUUGGAGGUAUUCAUAGAAAAAUCUUGAUAGAGUGUUGGCCCGUUGUGAAGAAACCAAUCUUGUUCUUAAUUGGGAGAAAUGCCACUUCAUGGUUGAGGGGGGCAUAGUUCUUGGGCAUAAAAUUUCAAAACAUGGUAUAGAAGUGGACAAAACAAAAAUCGAUGUGAUUUCAAGGCUUCCUCCCCUACCUUUGUCAAGGGAGUUAGAAGUUUUCUUGGGCAUGUNNNNNNNNNNNNNNNNNNNNNNNNNUCAAGUUUGUGUCCGAUGAGAGAUGUAUGCAAGCCUUUGAACUUCUCAAGCACAAGUUGACCACCACUCCUAUUAUUACCGCACCUAAUUGGAGCUUGCGUUUUGAGCUCAUGUGUGAUGCGAGCGAUGUUGCGUUGGGGCGGUUUUGGGUCAACGAGUGAACAAAAUGUUUCAUCCGGUGUACUAUGCGAGCAAGACAAUGAAUGAUGCUUAAGUGAACUACACGGUGAUCGAGAAAGAGCUUUUGGCUAUUGUGUUCGCGAUGGAGAAAUUUUGACCGUAUCUCAUGGUGCCAAGGUCAUAGUCCAUACUGAUCAUGCCGCACUCCGGUACUUGAGGACGAAUAAGGAUUCCAAAACUAGACUGAUGCGAUGGGUCUUGUUACUUCAAGAGUUUGAUUUGGAGAUUGUGGACCGGAAGGGUAGUGAAAACCAAGUGGCGGACCACUUGUCCCGCUUGGAGGAGGAGGGGAGGCCUCUUGAUGGCCUAAAGAUCAAUGAUUCAUUUCUCGACGAACUCCUUUCAGUGUCGGUGAAUGGUAUGCCAUGGUUUGCGGACGUUGCUAAUUUCCUUGUGACUGGUAUAAUCCCAUGUGAGCUCUCUUCUAACCAAAGGAAGAAGCUCAAACGAGAUAGUUUGGAUUUCUAUUAGGAUGAGCCGUACUUGUUCAAGAUUUGCAUGAUGGUGUGAUCCGAAGGUGUGUCCCGGAGGAGGAGCAAUUGAGUAUCUUAGAGGCUUGCCAUUCCUCUCCCUGUGGUGGCCAUCAUGGUGGGGUGAGGACGACUUCCAAAGUUCUUAGUUGUGGGUUUUAUUGGCCAACUUUGUACAAGAUGCAAGUGAACUUGUGAAGAGGUGUGACGAAUAUCAAAGAGCGGGUGGAAUUUCGAAGAAAGAUAAGAUGCCUCUCAAUACCAUUCUUGAAGUUGAUAUUUUUUAUGUAUGGGACAUUGAUUUAAUGGUCCCGUUUGUUAGCUCGUGUGGGAACACAUACAUCAUUGUGGCGGUUGACUAUGCUUCAAAGUGGGUUGAAACCAUGGCUUUACCCAACAAUGAGGCCCAAAGUGUUGUUGCGUUUCUCAAGAAGAACAUUUUUACAAGGUUUGGCAGUCCUUGUGCAAUCAUAAGUGAUGGGGGGUCUCAUUUUUGUAAUAGAGCCUUUGACACUUUACUUAAAAAUUAUGGUGUCAAUCACAAAAUUUCUACUCCUUAUCAUCCUCAAGUGAGUGACCAAGUUGAAGUCUCAAACAUGGAAAUCAAGAGUAUAUUGUCAAAGACGGUCAAUGCAAAUAGGACCGAUUGGUCAGAGAAGUUGGAUGAUGCUCUAUGGGUUUAUAGGACUGCUUACAAGACUUCGAUUGAUAUGUCUCCGUGUCGGUUGGUGUUUGGGUAAGCUUGCCAUCUACCGGUUGAGUUAGAGCACAAGGCCAUGUGGGCUUUGAGGAAGCUGAAUCUUGAAUGGGAUGUGGCAGCAAAUCUUUAUGUGGAGCAGCUUAAUGAACUUGAUGAAUUUCGAUUCCAUGCCUACUCCAGUUCGUCCUUGUACAAGGACAAAAUGAAGUACCUUCAUGAUAAAUAUGCUCGUGGCAAGGAGUUCAAAGUGGGUGAUUUGGUUCUCUUGUUCAACUCUCGGUUAUGUCUGUUUCCGGGAAAGCUUAAGUCGAAAUGGAGUGGACAUUUUGAAUUGGUAUUUGUGACUCCGUUUGGUGCACUUGACUUGAAGAACAAAAAUGGGGAGGUUUUCAGAGUUAAUGGGCACAUGGUCAGGCACUACCUGGGCAAGAUUGAUGACAACCAUGUGAUGGCACUGCUCCAUCUGAAGUGAUUUGAUGGUAACCUGCGUCGUGCCGCGACGUUAAAUCAGGCGCUUCUUUGGAGGCCACUCAUGUGCCUUUUUUUUCUUCUUUGAUUCUCUUAGUGUCGGAUUUAUUUAAAAGCUGACAAUUAAGGACCGUGGUCGCAAUGGAUUUUGUGUGGUCCGCGGUGCCUCAACGCGGACCACAGUGCAUUUUCUGCGGUCCGCAGUGCCUUUGAUCAGAGAGUGGGUAGUCUGAACCCCACCUCAGUGCGGACCGCAGUGCAUUUUGUGGGGUCCGUAGUAGCUUCUUUGCAGCCGCACUUCAUUUUGUACGGUCCGCAGUCUGCAACUUUUUCUACAAUUAUUCACUGACUCUACUGAUACUAACAAAGUUCAACUGUAUUCUCUUUGUAGAUCAUGGUGAAAUCACGAGGCAGAGGUGAUAAAUAGAAAGGGAAAGGAGAGUCCUCCCGGGGUAGGGGACAAGGAAUGAUUAGAUUGACCCUGCAAGCCCUGCAAAACAUCGAAAACACCAAAAGGCUCAUAAAGGCUGCUGACAGAGCUAUUGACCAAUCAAGAAAUGAGUAUGAGCCUUCCCGAGAGGCAUCUGACUCAGACUCCGUGCCAGAGUAUGUUCCUGACUGGCCGGAGAGGAACAUAUUGAGGGAUACACCUCCGGUCUCUCCCACUGCCCAAGCAUCAGUGCGCAUAUCUUUUGAGUCGUUUGAGGGCUCAGCUGCAGGCAAUGCCAAUGAAUAUUCCACCUCACUUACAACUUCACUAUCCGAGGAGGGGCCCGUAGAAGAAGAAGGAGAAGAAGUCGGAGGGGGUGAUCCCCAAGUAGGAGGGGUAGAGAGAACCAGAAACCCGGAGGCCUGGCAGAACAUGUUCGUGAGUGAAGUGGCCUACCACAAGUUCAGACAGUGGUGGCCUGAGGGGAAGCUAAUACUGGAGCGAAAAUUCAUUACAAAGGACCUCAUGCCUCACAACCCCAACGUGUUGAGGCAAUUCAGGGAGAGAACAGGCUGGAACUAUUUCAUAGGCCAUGUAGAGGAUGCAAAUGAGCACUUGGUGAAGGAGUUUUACAUGAAUGUUGCCCACAUAAAAAAGGGCACAAUAGUGACCAAAGUGCGGAACUUAAAAGUGAAAUUUGAUGGCAAAACAAUAAAUGAUUAUUUGGGCUUCUCGGAGGAAGAUGAAACCUUGUACUAAGACAAGGUAGCUUUGGGGGAGGAUGCCCGGCCGUGGCUAGCUGAGUACUUGGCAAUCCUAGGUACCACCCCGGCAUGGUUGACAACAGGGGUAAAUAUUCUGAGGCGGAUCCUUAACUUUGAAGCAAAGGGGUGAGAGACAUUUGUUUGUAGCUGGCUAGACCCCACCACUCACGACAACUCCCUUCCUAUCCACCGGGCUGUAUUGGUGGCAUCGAUCAUGGCGGGGUACCCGAUCAACAUCGGAAAUGUGAUGUCAAGGGUUAUUACAUAGGUUGUGAACGAAGGUGACAGAUCCUACCCUUCCCCAAUUUCCUGACCAUGUAUUUCGAGGACCUUGAUGUGGAGAAGCGGAGAUUUGAUGUGAAAGUGAAAGCAAAGGCACCGUUCUCCUAGUACAGAACCAAGGGUCCCGACAACCUCAAGGACCCUAAGGGCAAAGCCACUACUUCAACUGGCCAGUCUGAAGAGCUAGUAGCAGUAAUGGCUCCUACUCAGCCUCCUUCCGCCACAACAGACAUGGCCCAAGGACCCUCCACUUCUACAGCUCUAGAGAUUCCUUCAUCCACUGUAUAUCCUUUGACUGCCCACCGCCUAAACCAGACCCUUUCCAACAUCAACAACUGGAUGCAGACAACCACUUCUAAGCUGUCUGUACUAGCUACUUCGGUGGCAACCCAGUCAAUACCUCCUCCGCCACAGGUCCCACAGUCAGUGGAGGACACUCUGAAGGAGCUUCUAGACAAUCAGAAGAAGCUAAUAGAUGCUAUUGAUUCUCAUGGCAAGGAAUUGAAGGAGCUUGCUAGGGAGGCGAAGAAAAUGAGAAAGUCUCGGGCUUCAAAAGAGUCGGUGAAGGAGCUAAGGGUGGAGGUAGAGAGGUUGAAGGCGGAUCACUUGCCUCUGGAUCUGUUAUUGCAUGACCCGGCUCCAGCAGCUCAGCCCCAGCCAGAGCAAGAGACAGAGAGGCCACCCAAGAGGAAGAGGGUGAUUCCCCAUAAUGAUGAUGCUGUCAUAGAGUUGGAGGACCUGCAAGGAGAUUCCUCUAGCUAGCCCCAAAUUCCAGUACAGGCCCAGGACUCAGUCCAGACGCAGGUCCCGGUGGAGACACAGAUCACGGGGAGCCAGUCAUAGGCUCCCGAGCAGACCGAGGACCCCGAGACCCAGACUCAGGACCCUAUGCAGACUGAGGGCCAAUAGGGAGUUUCUUUUUUCUCUCUUCCUUAUUUUGUGCUUAUUUUGGUUAGUUAGCAUUGAGGACAAUGCUAACUUUCAUUUGAGGGGGUAGCCCUAUUUGGAUGACUGUAUGUAUGACAAUAUGUUUUCUUUAUGCUUUCUUUUUACCUUUGGUGUGUAUAUAACUUUAUCAUUUUAUUGUGCUUUUCGUACUUUUUACUUUUGGUCUGUAUAUAAAGUUAUGUUCUUAUGUAUAUAUUCAUUCUCCCUAUUGUAUAUUCGACUAAUUCCCCUCUUGUAUAUAUUCAUUUUAUUUUUCGUAUUUUUCCUUUCAUAGUUUCUUAUUUUAUUUUUGUAGCUUCUUGUUUUGAGUUUUUGCGUGCAAUAAGCUUUUGGUUUUCUUAAUGCCACGGUUCUUUUCAAAGGUGAAAAUUGUGUGAACCGGGUAGCUUUUCCCGAUGAUGGAUGGCAUGACAACCUUCUUAAGGGUUUGAGUCUGUUUUCUUUUUGCUUUUUUUAGUAGCUAGUUGGUAAGGGUGCCUCAAGCAAAGUUUCACUUGGGCCUAAUAUAUUUUCCUUUGAUCCUAUGGUCAAAAACAAAUUGUUGUGUAUAGGAUGGUGAAAGUUGUGACCUUGAGACUCUUGUGUUGGCCGAUAAUCAUCAAUUGGUUUUUUGGGACCAUUGUGUUGCUCAAAUCUUAGCUAAGGUUAUUGUGCCCCCCUGACUCUGUUUCUUUAGCAAUCCCAUAGCUCGUAUGGUGAGAAUUUGAAUUGCAAGUCUAAGUCCCGAGCCAUUAGUCUAGAACUUGUCCUGAAUGUUUAUCUAGGCAAAAUCCUAAGUGUAAUUUGACUUGAGAUGUGAUUAUAGGUUCUCUUUGAUCCGAAUGAUGUCUUGAACAGUUCCAUAGCCUACCAAUGAUAAUAUCCCUAGUCAACCCUUUUGAGCGUUAGACCUUUUUCUUUCAAAAAAAUCACGAUACAAGCCUUUACCCGUUCCCUCUAUUGGCACCCAAUCUUUCCUUAGCACAAAGCAAAAACAUAAGUUUGGGGGGAGAGACGAGGAAUGUAACAAAGUGGUAAAAGGUACAAAAUGAAGAAAAGGAACGACAAUGAAAAAGAAAGAAAAACAAAAAGACAAAAAGAAUGAUCAAUGUAGAAAAGAAUGAAGGGAUUCAAUAAAAAUAAAAAGAUGAAAUAUGUGGAAAGUUGAGAAACGAGAAAAAGUUUGAAAUGAACAAGAAAGAGUGACAGUGUGUCUCUCUAACCCCUAAGAAAGAAACAAAUGACUUAAAAAGUCAAGUGAAUGUAUGCCAAAAUGAAGCAAAUGAAGUGCUAAAGGGAAGAUAGAACUUACUUAGACCAAACAUUUCCUACCUGAACCAAAAGCCUUCACUAUAUUUACACAAAAGUCCUAUAUGAUCUUGAGUUGAAUGAAGCUUACAUUAGUGGUGACUCACAUAAGGGGUAAGCUUAUGAUACUUAGAGCCGGACUUGUGACCUUUCUUUGAGAGAGAUGAGCGUGUUUUCACUGUCCUCGUUCUGAGUGCUACAAUCUUAAAGGUGAGGUUUGCUUAGGGAGAGUUGAAGAUGUAUGAGUUUGGGGUUCCACAAUGACCAAAGUAACAGAAAGAGUUUCUUUGAUGUGUUGAGUCAACUCUUGAUGCUCUUGUGUCGCACUAAAUACAUGGUGCUUAAAAGAGUGAAUGUUGUUAAUAAUUCAUUUGAAUUAAGGGCAGUUGUUAGUCCCAAUUGAUGCUAGAUGAGGUCACUUUAGUUCAGCCGAAUUUUCUUGGAUUUACUCUUAAGGGGUGAGUCUUAUUUUGUUUUUUUAAGGACAAGCAAAAGCUUAAGUUUGGGGGUGUUGAUAACUAGGGAUUAUGGUGCAUUUUAUACUCCCUCUUACUUGAGUUCUGAUUGAAAAUGUGUACAAAAUAGUCCCAAAGGCUUACAUGUUGUACUUGUUUACAUGGUUUGGUCAACAAGGUGACAAUUAGUCAAAAUCAGCUUAAAAAGGAGUGGAACAUGCACAAGUACCAAGAACAAGUCCAAGCACAGUACAACAGGUCCAAUGCGGCUGCACUCCAUUCUGUGCGAUCAGAAGUGAAGAAGUUCAGAGAGGUUCUCAUUUCAGACGUCAAGCAUUGCAGCCGCAAAGCAUUUCAUGCGGACCGCAAUAGACUCACCGCGGUCGCACUCGAUAUUGAGCGGUCCGCAAUGAUUGAGUUCAGAGAGUUGAAAAUUUGGAGCUUGAUUCCAAUGCGAUCCGCGAUCCUUUUUGUGCGGAUCGUAAUAGAAGCCACCGCAGUCGCGGUGCAUUUUGUUGCGGUCCACACAAAAAGGACCUCGGACCACAUUGACAUUAAGCUCCAAAUCUUCAACUCUCUGAACUCAAUCAUUGCAGGAUUGGCGAUUUUGAGAGAGAUUUUCACCUGGGUGUUUUGGGUAACUAAUUUUUACUCGAUUUUGAUUAAUUUCCACGAAUUUAUGCUUAAAUUCAUCCCUUAAAUUCGAAUUUGGGGUGAAAAAUUGGAGAAAAGUUGGAAAAGUUCCUAGACCUAACUAUUGAGUUUGGAUCGAUAUUUUGAUGUCAUAUUGGAGUAAUAUCUAUAUAUAUGAACUCGUGAGAGUAUAAGGUUUCCGAAUUUAUAAAUUUUACCCGAUUCCAAGACGUGGGCCCGAGGGUCAUCCUGGUCAUUUUUUUAAUGUUACGUAUUAGCUUAGAAUUAAUUAUUGGAAUCAUCUACUUGAAGUUAUUUACAUUAUGCAAUUGAAUUGAAUAGAUUUGAGUCAUUUGAAGUCGAGUACUCGUGGCAAAAGCGUGAUUUCGAGUUGAUUUUGAGCCGGUUCGAGGUAAGUGGCUAGUUUAACCUUGUGUGGGGGAAGCUCCCCUUAGGAUUUGGUAUUGUUGACAUUUGAAAUGCUUUGUACGUGAGGUGACAAGUGCGUACUUGUGCUAAUUGUUGAAAAUUCAUUUUCAUUAAGUAACUAUAACUGUGUUUCUUUUCCUGUUUAUAGUACUUGCAAUUUAAGCCUACUAUUAGCUUUGGAAAACGUGUCUACUUGACUUAAUUAUUUUACUUGCUCAAACUGAUUUAUUCGAAUUAUGUGCAGCAUGCUAGGUUAGAAAUACUUGUUUUACUUUGUUAUGAAAUUGGAUUGCACUGAAUAUUCUUCGUGUUGUUGUUGUGUGUUUACUUUGGGACUACGGGACGGUAUCCCGGUAGAUCCCCCUGCAUGUUUACUUUGGGACUACGGAUUUGUAUUCUGGUAGAUCCCCCUGCACAUUUACAUUAGAACUACAAGACUGCACCCGAUAGAUUCCCCCAGUACUAGAUAUUUACAUUUGGGACUACGGAUCGAAUUUUCGAUAGAUCCCCGCGCAUUAUGAGUUAGACUACGGGACUGCACCCGGGAGAUCCACUGAAUAUUUAUAUUUGGGGACUACAUGACGGUAUCCUGGGAGAUCUCUGGUGGUUAUCUCUGUGUUGAGCUGUAUUCCUUUCCGUGAUUAUUUUGUCUCUAUUAUAGUUGUUGUCGUUCUUUUUAUCAUGUGUUACUUUUCACUGUUGCACUUAAUUAUACUGUCUUAUUCUAUACUGUUAUACCUUGUAUUUCAUUAAUCUCAGUAGGGCCCUGACUUUCAUCGUCACUACCCGAUCGAGGUUAGGCUUGACACUUGCUGAGUACUGCUGUAGUGUACUCAUGCCCUUUCUGCAUAUGUUUUUCAUGUGCAGAUCAGGUACUUCCACUCAAUCUUAUCAUUCUUGAGUCGAGACGCUUUUGUAAAGACUUUGAGGUAUAUCUGCCGCGUCCGCAGAUUGAGGAGUCCCAUUCUAUUUUCUCUUCUAGUAUAGCCCUUUUUUAUUUUUCCUUUUGAUAGACAUGGGGUUUCGGAUUUUGGUAGUGUUAGGUUGAAAUUCUUGUACUGUUAUAUGCUAGGCGGCAUCUUAAAUACUAUUUCAUUUUGUUAUCUCGGUUUUUAAUUAUUUUCUUUCCGUAAUUGUUCUUUUUUUCCGCAUUUGUUAGGCUUACCUAGUCGUAGAGACUAGGUGUCAUCACGAUAGUUCACGGAGGGCAAAAUGAGGUCAUAACAAGUUGGUAUCAGAACUCUAGGUUCAUAGGAGUCAUAAAUCACAAGCCGAUUUAUUAGAGUCUCGCGGAUCGGUACAGAGACGUUUGUACUUAUCUACGAGAGGCUGUGUAACUGUUAGGAAAAUUCCACUUCUUUUGACUUUCUUGUCGUGCGAGAUUCUUGACAUCACCAAUUCUAAACCUCUUUCUUCCAUUCUCUCACAGAUGGUGAGGACACGUGCCACUAGAGAUGACUAGGCACCCGUGCCCCCUGCUAGAACCGUUAGAGGUCGGGGCCGGGGUAGAGGUCGAGGAUGCGCCUAUGGUGCAGCCAGAGCACCCACAUUAUCUGCCAUAGAGGAGCCACCAACAGUUCCAGUCAGUGUCUAGGCACCUGAUACACCUACUGCUACUACUACUCCAGCACUUCAGGAGACAUUAGCACAGUUCCUGAGCAUGUUUGGUACAUUAGUUCAGGCGGGGUUGAUUCAGGUUGUACCAACUACUUCACAAAUCGGGGGAGGGACCCAGACUCCCACCGCCCCCACUCCAGAGCAGCGAGUUCUCAUUGGUUAGGGUCCAGGUGUCAUGGCGACACAGCCUAUGGUCUCAGUUCAGCGGGUGUUGAGCACCUCUCGCCGAGUAAAGGACAUGUGGGUCUAAGAGAGAGAGGACAUAUAAAGUAAGGAGAAAGAGUAUAGGGAAGCAAGGAGGCCUCGUAGACUGGAGAGACCCACUGGUGGUUACUUUGGAGGAAGAGUAAGGAAUGGUUGAGGUUUUGUGGGUCAGCUAGCUCAGUUUAUGUCUCAGAUUUCACACAAUAUUUCAGGUGUUCAGGGGUCUCAGAGUACCCGUACCGCACGGUUCCCACUGCCACGUCCUCCCAGAGCUUGUUUUGAGUGUGGUAACACACACCAUGUGGUGAGGGAUUGCCCUAGACUUGGGAGGAAUGCACCUCCACAGACUUCUCAGCCACAUCGUGCCCCGUAGAGUUUUCAGGCUAUGGUUACAACUCCAGUUGCUACCCCACCUGCUCAGCCAGCUAGAGGUAGAGGUCGGGGAGUUAGAGGUCGCCCUAGAGGGGAAGGCCAGACCAGAUAUUAUGCCCUUUCUGCCCGUACCGAGGCUGUCAUCGCCAAUUAUGUCAUCAUAGGUAUUGUCUUGGUUUGUCAUAGAGAUGCAUCGAUUUAUUCAAUCCAGGCUCCACUUAUUCUUAUUUUGCCUCGCAUUUGGGUGUAUCUCGAGAUUCUUUGAGUUUCCCUGUUUAUGUUUCGUUUAUCGGUCGUGUAUGGUUGCUCUUAGUGGUUUUGAGACCAGAGUCGAUUUGUUAUUGCUCAGCAUGGUAGAUUUUGAUGUUAUCUUAGGCAUGGACUGAUUGUCGCCCAUUAUGCUAUUUUUGAUUGUCACGGCAAAACUGUGACGCUGGCUAUGCCAGGUGUAUUGUGAGUAGAGUGGAGAGGUACCUUAGGUCAUACUUCCAGUAGAGUUAUUUCUUUCCUUAAAGCUCAACGUAUGGUUGAGAAGGGGUGUAAAACGUAUCUAGCUUUUGAGAGAGAUGUCAGUAUUGAUACCCCUACAGUUGAUUCAGUCCCAGUAGUACGAGAUUUUUCUAAUGUGUUUCUAGCUGAUCUUCCGGGCAUGCCGCCCGAUAGAGAUAUCGAUUUUGGCAUUGAUCUGUUGCCGGACACUUAGCCCAUUUCUAUUCUUCUGUAUCAUAUGGCCCCUUCUAAGUUGAAGGAGUUGAAGGAUCAGUUACAGGAAUCGCUUGAUAAGGGUUUUAUUCGGCCCAGUGUAUCACAUUAGGGUGCUCCUACCAUAUUUGUGAAGAAAAAGGAUGGUUCCAUGCGUAUGUGCAUUGAUUAUUGCUAGUUGAACAAAGUUACAGUGAAGAACCGGUAUCCUUUGCCUCGCAUUGAUGAUUUGUUUGACCAGCUUCAGGGUGCACGAGUGUUUUCUAAGAUUGACUUGCGUUCAGGUUACCAUCAAUUGAAGAUUCGAGAGCCAAAUAUCCCGAAGAUUUCCUUCAGGACUCGGUAUGGUCAUUACGAGUUCCUUGUUAUGUUGUCAUUUGGGCUGACCAAUGCCCUAGAAACCUUCAUGCAUUUGAUGCACAGUGUGUUCCUGCCGUAUCUUGACUCGUUCAUCAUUGUCUUCAUUGAUGAUAUUCUGGUGUAUCUCGGAAUCGGGAAGAUCAUGAGCAACACCUGAGGAUAGUGCUUCAGACUUUGAGGGGAAAGAAGUUAUAUGCAAAGUUCUCGAAAUGUGAGUUUUGGCUAGAUUCCGUGGCAUUCUUAGGCCAUGUGGUAUCGAGUGAGGGUAUUCAGGUGGAUCUGAAGAAAGUGGAAGCAGUGCAGAGUUGGCCCAGACCAUCUUCAACUAUAGAGAUCCACAGUUUUCUUGUCUUGGCGGGUUAUUACCGUCGAUUUGUUGAAGGGUGCUCUCUUCUAGUGGACAGAAGAGUGUGAAGCGAGCUUUUAGAAGCUCAAGACAGAGCCCCGGUCUUGAUAUUGCCUACAGGUUCGGGGUUUUAUAUUGUCUAUUGUGAUGUCUCGAGGAUUGGCCUUGGAGCGGUAUUGAUGCUUGACAUUAGGGAGAUUGCCUACGCGUCUAGACAAUUGAAGGUACAUGAGAAGAAUUAUCCUAUGCAUGAUCUCGAGUUAGCUACUAUUGUUCACGCCUUGAAGAUCUGGCGUCAUUAUUUGUACGAUGUGCAUUGUGAGAUUUAUACUAAUCACCGGAGUUUGCAGCAUCUGUUCAAGCAGAAGGAUCUUAAUUUGCGCCAGAGGAGGUGGUUAGAGCUGCUGAAAGAAUAUGAUAUCACUAUCUUGUAUCACCCGGGCAAGGCCAAUGUGGUGGCUGAUGCUUUGAGUCACUGGACAAAGUGUUUGGGGAGUUUGGCUUAUUUACCAGUCGCAGAGAGGCCCAUGGCGAUGUAUGUUCAGGCCUUAGCCAGUCAGUUUGUGAGAUUGGAUCUUUCGGAGGCUAGUCGGAUCCUUACUUGUGUGGUUUCUCAGUCUUCCUUGUUUGAUCGUAUCCGGGAGCGUCAGUUUGAUGACCCUCAUUUACUUGUCCUCAAGGACAGGGUUCUGCACGGUGAUGCCAGAGAUGUGACUAUUGAUGAUGAUGGGGUAUUGAGGAUGCAUGUUCGGAUUUGUGUACCCAAUGUUGAUGGGCUUCAGGAGUUGAUUCUAGAGGAGGCCAAUAGUUCGCGGUAUUCCAUUCAUCCGGGUGUCGCGAAGAUGUUCCAGGAUUUGAGGUAGCACUAUUGGUGGAGGCGGAUGAAAAAAGAUAUAGUUGAGUUUGUAGCUCGGUGCCUCAAUUGUCAGCAAGUGAAGUAUGAGCAUCAGAGACAGGGUGGGUUGCUUCAGCAGAUGGAGAUUCCGAAGUAGAAGAGGGAGCGGAUCACCAUGAACUUUGUAGUUGUGCUCCCACAGACUUUGAGGAAGUUCGAUGACAUUUGGGUGAUUGUGGAUCGAUCGACCAAGUCCACGCAUUUCAUUCCUGUGUGUACUACCUAUUCUUCGGAGCGAUUGACAGAGAUUUAUAUCUUGGAGAUUGUUCGUCUGCAUGGUAUUCUAGUUUCCAUCAUUUUAGAUAGAGGUACUCAGUUCAUAUCACGGUUCUAAAGGGCCGUACAACAUGAGUUGGUACUUGGGUGGAGUUGAGUACAAUAUUUCACCCUCAUACGGAUGGACAGUCCGAGCGCACUAUUCAAAUUCUUGAGGAUAUGCUCCGUGCGUGUGUGAUUGAGUUUGGAGGGUCUUGGGAUCAGUUCUUGCCAUUGGCGGAAUUUGCCUACAACAAUAGCUAUCAGUCCAGCAUUCAGAUGGAACUGUAUGAGGCUUUAUAUGGUAGGUGGUGUAGAUCCCCGGUGGGUUGGUUUGAACCGGGUGAGGCUAGAUUAUUGGGCACUGACUUGGUUCAGGAUGCUUUGGAGAAGGUUAAGGUGACUUAGGAUAGACUCCGUACAGCCUAGUCCGGACAGAAGAGUUACACGGACCAGAAGGUUCGUGAUGUUUCCUAUAUGGUUAGAGAGCAGGUUCUGCUUCGGGUUUCGCCUAUGAAGGGCGUUAUGAGAUUCGGGGAGAAGGGGAAGUUGAGUCCGAGGUUUAUUGGCCCUUUUGAGAUAUUGCGGCGUGUUGGGGAGNNNNNNNNNNNNNNNNNNNNNNNNNNNNNNNNNNNNNNNNNNNNNNNNNNNNNNNNNNNNNNNNNNNNNNNNNNNNNNNNNNNNNNNNNNNNNNNNNNNNNNNNNNNNNNNNNNNNNNNNNNNNNNNNNNNNNNNNNNNNNNNNNNNNNNNNNNNNNNNNNNNNNNNNNNNNNNNNNNNNNNNNNNNNNNNNCGUCGCACGUAUUGGAUUUUAGUUCAGUUCAGUUGGACAAGGAUCUAUCUCAUGUUGAGGAGCUAGUGGCAAUAUUGGAAAGGUAGGUUCGAAAGCUGAGGUCAAAGAACAUUGCAUCAGUAAAGGUUAAGUGGCGGGGUCAGCCGGUCGAGGAGGUGACCUAGGAGACCAAGCAGGAUAUGCGCAGCCGUUACCCUCAUCUUUUCACUACUUCAGGUAUGUCUCUAUACUCGUUCGAGGACGAACGAAUAUUUAAGUGUAGGAGGAUGUAACGACCUGGCCGGUCGUUUUAAGAAUUAAUGCCCCGAUCCCCUAUUAACUGCUUUCUCCCUGUUUGUUUCUACUAUUUUGAUUCGUCGGGAUGUUUGGUUUUGAGUUUCGUAGUGUUUUGGGAUACUUAGUCCCUAAAUGAGAGCUUAAGCUUUAGAAUUUGGAUCGUAGUCGGAGCAGUGUGAAGACAGCCUCAGAAUGGAAUUCCGUUGGUUCUGUUAGAUCCGUUGGGUGAUUUCGGGCUUAGGGGCGUGUUCGAAUUGUGUUUUGGAGGUCCUAAGCUUAUUUAGGCUUGAAAUGCUGAAAGUUGAAUUUUUGAAGUUUCCGGGUCGAUAGUGAGAUUUUGAUAUCGGGGUCGGAAUAUAAUUCCGGAAGUUGGAGUAGUUCCGUAGUGUUAAAUGUGACGUGUGUACAAAAUUUCAGGUCAUUCGGACGAGGGUUGAUAGCCUUUUUGAUCGAAAGCAUAAAUUGAGAGUUUUUGGAGUUCUUAGGUUUGAAUCCAUGGUUAAUUCGAUGUUUCGAUGACUUUUAGGUGUUUUAAGGAUUGGUAUAUGUUUGGAUAGUGGUAUAUGGCUUGUUCGUGCUUUUGGUUGAGGUCCCGGGGGCCUGGGGAUGAAUCCGGAUGGUUGACGGGAAGUUGAGAGUUAGAGUGUGCAGCUGAAACUGCUGGAUUGCUGUCAUAACCGCACCUGCAGAUUGGGGACCGCAAGUGCAGAUCCCAGAACCUGCUGGGAGACCGCAGAUGCGGCUAGAUGAGGAAAAACUAGAAGCAGCAGGUACGGAAGUGUCCACGCACCUGCGUGACCGCAGAUGCGGUGAAGAGGUCACAUUUGCGGCAAUGGGAAUUUAAUGAAAUUCGUAGGUGCGACUUGGUCUUUGCAGAAAUGUGACCAUAGGUGCAGUCCAGGGCCACAGAUGCGGUUUCACUGGUCAGAAAAGGGGCAGAAACGAGGUUUUAGUUUCCAAACUUGGAAAAUUGAUUUGGUAGCUCGGGAUUGGUAAUUUUGAGGGAGAUUUUCACCUGGGUGUUUUGGGUAAGUAAUUCUUACUUGGUUUUGAUUAAUUUCCACGAAUCUAUGCUUAAAUUCAUCCUUUAAAUUCAAAUUUGGGGUGGAAAAAUUGGAGAAAAGUUGGAAUAGUACCUAGACCUAACUUUUGAGUUUGGAUCGUGAUUUUAAUGUCGGAUUGGAGUAAUUUCUAUAUAUAUGAACUCGUGAGAGUAUGGGGUUUUCGAAUUUGCAAAUUUUACCUGAUUCCGAGACGUGGGCUCGAGGGUCAUUUUGGUCAUUUUUCUUAAUUUCGCGUAUUAGCUUAGAAUUAGUUAUUGUAAUUAGCUACUUGAAGUUAUAUUUACAUUAUGAAAUUGAAUUUAACAGAUUUGGGCCAUUUGGAGUCGAGUACUCGUGGCAAGAGCGUGGUUUCGAGUUGAUUUUGAGCUGGUUCGAGGUAAGUGACUUACCUAACCUUGUGCGGGGGAAACUCCCUUUAGGAUUUGGUAUUGUUGACAUUUGAAAUACCUUGUACGUGAGGUGACGAGUGUGUACUUGUGCUAAUUGUUGAAAAUCCGUUUUUAUUAAGUAACUAUAUCUGUGUUUCCUUUUCUGUUUAUACUACUCGCAAUUUAAGCCUACAUUAGCUUAAGAAAGCAUGUCUAAUUGACUUAAUUGUUUUACUUGCUCAAACUGCUUUAUUCGAAUUAUGUGCAGCGUGCUAGGUUAGAAGUACUCAUGUCCUUUCUGUGCAUGUUUUUCAUGUACAGAUCCAGGUACUUCCACUUAGUCUUAUCAUCCUUGAGGCGAGACACUUUUAUAGAGACUUCGAGGUAUAUCUGUCGCGUCCGCAGACCGAGGGGUCCCUUUCUAUUUUCUAUACUAGUAUAGCCCUUCUGUAUUUUUCCUUUUGAUAGACAUUCCUGGAGUUAGAGCUUUUUAUGUAUCUCUUAGCUUGUGAUUCAUGGGAUUCCAGAUUUUGGGAGUAUUAGGUUGAGAUUCUUUUACUGUUAUAUGCCAGACGACAUCUUUAACACUGUUUCAUUUUGUUAUCUCGAUUUUUAAUUAUUUUCUUUCCGCAAUUGUUCUUUUUUUUCCCGCAUUUGUUAGGCUUACCUAGUCGUAAAGACUAGGUGCCGUCACGAUAGUUCACGGAGGGCAAACUGGGGUCGUGACACAACCAAGUCACCAGUUUUGGUCGAGUCAUUUCGAUUCAUUGAUUUCAGCCUGGCCAAAUCGGUAUUCCCCUCUCUUUUCUUUUGAUUCUGUUGCUCUUUGUUUUUGUUGUUUUAUUAUUUAUUACUUAGUUUUUAUUUUUAUUUUUUGUCACUGUUAAUCCUGUUCCUCUUUUGUUUGAGAUAAUAUCGAGUUGUUUAGGUUCAUUGAGUUCAAUUGAUUAAUGGCAUAAGUUUAGGGUUAUUUGUUUAAAAACCAUUUAAGUCCGGAUUACUUCUAUUUUUGGGUGUUAAUUACUGAUUUAUAUUUGGUUGAUGUCUUAUGCUAGUUUUGGUCUAAUCGGGAUUCUGUGGUUAUGGGCUAAGAAGCCCAAACCCAGGUUUUUUGUUAUGAGGUUAAAUUUGAGGAUAUGACUGGGCAUUAUAGGAAUUGAACUUGAGGGAAUAUUAUGUACAACUGAUUAAGAAUGUUCUAGAGAUAGGAUAAGGGUCUAAGAUGCAAAUAAACUGGAAAUUAAGAUAGAUUUUGGGGUUGAAAUUGAUCAAUUUAAGAAGUAAAAGGGGGCAAAAACAUAUACAAAAUAGCUAGAAUGGACAGCUGUCCAUAUUCAGUUAUAGAAGAUGUUUUUUAUUUUUUGAAUUAAAAAGGAGCACAUGGCAGAGUUAGCACCUAUAUUUUCUGGACCCUUAGUCUUUUCUGAAUUUUCUUCUCCUUUAAGUUUAAAGUUAGAAACAAAAUCUGACUCUUUUCGGAAAAAAAAGAAAGAAGAAUCAUCUCUUCUAUCUUCUACUUUUCACUCGAAGUUUGGGGCAGUUUUCUUUGGAUUUUUGGGUUAAAGCUGAAGUUUAUUCUGAAUUACUCUUUCUGCUACUAUUCUGUUUGGCUGUUACACCUUCUCAAUUACAGAGCUUUAUUUUUGGUUGAUUUGCUGUAAACAGGUAUGUGGCUGAACAUCUACCUGGCCCAUAGGUUAUAUACCUGAAGUUGUGAACUAUCUGCUGCCUCACUUUCGAAGUUGUGUGAUCAUGAGUUUCAAAUUUUGAUUUUCUAUCUCUGUUCUAUUCUGUUAUGUUGUCUUUAAGUAGGUUGAAGUUUGGUAUUAAAUGAAUGUAAUAAACACACCAUGCAUAUAUUGGAAAGUCUGUAAUGAUGUCGAGUGUUAGUUUGAAUAUGUGACUGUUAGUUAGAAUUGCUUCAUGAUAUAUGUUUGAGUCGAAUGUAACCCUGAUAUUUAGUUGUGAUGCUCAAGUUGGAGUUGUUUAAAAGAGUUUUUAGGUGGAGUAUUUGAAGAGCUUCUCAGAUUUGAAGCUUUAAAAAAUAAUGAUGCCCUUGCAUAAUAUUUACUGUCAGAUCUGAAGGCUGGUUGAAACUCAUUUAAUUUCAUGUGGAUAUUUGUGUUAGAGGUAGUAUCUCGCAGGUUUAGAACACUAUUUGAGUCUCUUGAAUUGUUCAGCUAUCUUUUUG
rnacentral:lncRNA from 1 species